CAACUUUUAACAACGGAUCUCUUGGUUCUCGCAUCGAUGAAGAACGUAGCAAAGUGGGAUAACUAAUGUGAAUUGCAUAUUCAGUGAAUCAUCGAGUCUUUGAACGCAUCUU
rnacentral:rRNA from 1 species